CAGCCGCCGCGGUAAUACGUAGGUGGCAAGCGUUGUCCGGAAUUAUUGGGCGUAAAGGGCUCACAGGCGGUUUCUUAAGUCUGAUGUGAAAGCCCCCGGCUCAACUGGGGAGGGUCAUUGGAAACUGGGAAACUUGAGUGCAGAAGAGGAGAGUGGAAUUCCACGUGUAGCGGUGAAAUGCGUAGAGAUGUGGAGGAACACCAGUGGCGAAGGCGACUCUCUGGUCUGUAACUGACGCUGAGGAGCGAAAGCGUGGGGAGCGAACAGGAUUAGAUACCCCUGUAGUCCCUGUCUCUUAUAC
rnacentral:rRNA from 1 species